rnacentral:rRNA from 1 species
CGAGCACGCGCGUGUGGCAUAUCAAUAAGCGGAGGAAAAGAAACUAACAAGGAUUCCCUUAGUAACGGCGAGUGAAGCGGGAAGAGCUCAAAUUUGAAAUCUUCAAGGUUCUACCUUGACGAAUUGUAGUUUAUAGAAGUGUUUUCUGUUAGUAGAGUGGCAAAAGUUCUUUGGAAUAGGACAUCAUAGAGGGUGAGAAUCCCGUAUUUGGUCAUUCCUUCCUAGCGUUGUGAUACACUUUCAACGAGUCGGAUUGUUUGGGAAUGCAGUCCAAAAUGGGUGGUAAAUUUCAUCUAAAGCUAAAUAUUGGCGAGAGACCGAUAGCGAACAAGUACCGUGAGGGAAAGAUGAAAAGAACUUUGAAAAGAGAGUUAAACAGUACGUGAAAUUGUCAAAAGGGAAGCGUUUGACACCAGUGUUGUUUUUCCGAAAAUCAAUUACGAAUGUUUUGUUUUUAAGGAGUUAUGACUUCAUCGGCUUGCUUCUCUCUUUACUGAAACUUUCUUAAUGCACUUUUCGGUUAACAAGUCAACAUCAAUUUCUUUUGUUGUAAAAGGGUAUGAGGAAGGUGGCUUUCUUUUCGGAGAAAGUGUUUAUAGCCUUGUAGCCUCUGCAAUCGGAGAGAUUGAGGUCUGCAGCGUAGAUCCUUCGGGGUUAGAUACAGUUUGUGCUAAGUUAUAGCUUUUCAUAGACAACUUGUUGACUAUGUUAAGUCUUGUAGCUUACUCGCUUAUGCUAUUUUACCUACGCUUAGGAUGUUGAGUAGCGACAUACGCAC